GUGAAUAAGGGGGUGGGCAAGUUCUGGUGUCANCCCCCGCGGUAAAACCAGCACCUCGAGUGGUCAGGAGGUUUAUUGGGCCUAAAGCAUCCGUAGCCGGUUGCAUAAGUUUUCGGUUAAAUCUAUGCGCUUAACGUAUAGGCCGCCGAAAAUACUGUGCAGCUAGGGAGUGGGAGAGGUACACGGUACUCGAUAGGAAGGGGUAAAAUCCUUUGAUCUAUUGAAGACCACCUGUGGCGAAGGCGGUGUACCAGAACACGUUCGACGGUGAGGGAUGAAAGCUGGGGGAGCAAACCGGAUUCAGAUACCCGGGUAGUCCCAGCUGUAAACGAUGCAGACUCGGUGAUGCAUUGGCUUGUGGCCAAUGCAGUGCCGCAGGGAAGCCGUUAAGUCUGCCGCCUGGGAAGUACGUACGCAAGUAUGAAACUUAAAGGAUUGGCGGGGGAGCACCACAAGGGUGAAGCCUGCGUUCAUUGG
rnacentral:rRNA from 1 species